CUGGAAAGAAUUUAACGAUACCAUGUUCGAUUUUCGUUAACCCAUAAAAUGCCGUAACAUUCGAAGAAAGACGCUUGUUACAUGUAAGGCCGCCGCAUCGGGAAAAGUAUCAGAUUGCGAUAUACAGUGCGAUUCACGCGUCGUGUCGGGAGUGUCGUGUAAAGUUUUAUUAUGCGUCGGGAGUGCCGUGUAAAGUGUCGGGCGAUCGUAAUUAUUCGUGUUUUCGCGAGUGUCGUGAGUGCUACGAAGGACCAAAAGAGGAGGAGGAGGCCUGGGAAGAGGCAUCGGGCGACAGCGGGGCAACUAUGAGAUCCAUGUGCCUGUGUAUUCCAACUCCGCUUUUGCAGUUGUAUCGGUGCUGUUGUAUCG